UUUUUGAGAGUUUGAUCCUGGCUCAGAACGAACGCUGGCGGCGCGCCUAACACAUGCAAGUCGAACGAGAGACUCUUCGGAGUAGUAAAGUGGCGAACGGGUGAGUAAUACAUGGGUAAUCUGCCUUUGAGCGGGGGAUAACCAGCCGAAAGGCUGGCUAAUACCCCAUACGCUUCCGGUCCCUCGGGUAAGGAAGGAAAGCUGCAUCGUGGAUGUGGCACUCGAAGAUGGGCUCAUGGCCUAUCAGCUUGUUGGUGGGGUAACGGCCUACCAAGGCAACGACGGGUAGCUGGUCUGAGAGGACGAUCAGCCACACUGGCACUGAGAUACGGGCCAGACUCCUACGGGAGGCAGCAGUGAGGAAUAUUGCGCAAUGGGCGAAAGCCUGACGCAGCGACGCCGCGUGGGGGAAGAAGGUUUUCGGAUUGUAAACCCCUUUUAGGAGGAAAGAUGGGGUGGGUUUCCACCCGGACGGUACCUCCAGAAAAAGCCACGGCUAACUUCGUGCCAGCAGCCGCGGUAAUACGAAGGUGGCGAGCGUUGUUCGGAUUUACUGGGCGUAAAGAGCACGUAGGCGGUUUAGUAAGCCCCUUGGGAAAGCUAUGGGCUUAACCCAUAAAGGUCGAGGGGGACUGCUAAGCUAGAGGGCGGGAGAGGAGCGCGGAAUUUCCGGUGUAGCGGUGAAAUGCGUAGAUAUCGGGAAGAAGGCCGGUGGCGAAGGCGGCGCUCUGGAACGUCUCUGACGCUGAGGUGCGAAAGCGUGGGGAGCAAACAGGAUUAGAUACCCUGGUAG
rnacentral:rRNA from 1 species